UACGGAGGGGGCCAGCGUUGCUCGGAAUUAUUGGGCGUAAAGGGCGCGUAGGCGGCUUGGUAAGUUUGAUGUGAAAUCCCAUGGCUCAACCAUGGAACUGCAUCUCAUACUGCCGAGCUAGAGUCUGGGAGAGGGAAGCGGAAUUCCCGGUGUAGCGGUGAAAUGCGUAGAUAUCUGGAGGAACACCGGUGGCGAAGGCGGCAUCCUGGACCAACACUGACACUGAGGAGCGAAAGCCAGGGGAGCAAACGGG
rnacentral:rRNA from 1 species